CAAAAAGUAGGUGAAUGCACGUACCCCUGAGGUAGAACUUGAAAAGUCCACUGCCUGCCCUCCCACGUGAAUGCAAACUGGUCUUGGGGCUCUAUGGGGCUCUAUGGGGCUCUAUGGGGCUCUAUGGGGCGGCUGUGGGGCGGCUAUGGGGCUCUAUGGGGCUCUAUGGGGCUCUAUGGGGCGGCUGUGGGGCUCUAUGGGGCUCUAUGGGGCGGCUAUGGGGCUCUAUGGGGCUCUAUGGGGCUCUAUGGGGCGGCUGUGGGGCUCUAUGGGGCUCUAUGGGGCUCUAUGGGGCGGCUGUGGGGCUCUAUGGGGCGGCUGUGGGGCUCUAUGGGGCUCUAUGGGGCUCUAUAGGACUCUAUGGGGCUCUAUGGGGCUCUAUGGGGCGGCUGUGGGGCUCUAUGGGGCUCUAUGGGGUGGCUGUGGGGCUCUAUGGGGCUCUAUGGGGCGGCUGUGGGGCUCUAUGGGGCGGCUGUGGGGCUCUAUGUGGCUCUAUGGGGCUCUAUGGGGCUCUAUAGGACUCUAUGGGGCUCUAUGGGGCUCUAUGGGGCUCUAUGGGGCGGCUGUGGGGCUCUAUGGGGCUCUAUGGGGCUCUAUGGGGCUCUAUGGGGCGGCUAUGGGGCUCUAUGGGGCUCUAUGGGGGCUCUAUGGGGCGGCUGUGGGGCUCUAUGGGGCUCUAUGGGGUGGCUGUGGGGCUCUAUGGGGCUCUAUGGGGCGGCUGUGGGGCUCUAUGGGGCGGCUGUGGGGCUCUAUGGGGCUCUAUGGGGCUCUAUAGGACUCUGUGGGGCUCUAUGGGGCUCUAUGGGGCUCUAUGGGGCGGCUGUGGGGCUCUAUGGGGCUCUAUGGGGCUCUAUGGGGCUCUAUGGGGCGGCUAUGGGGCUCUAUGGGGCUCUAUGGGGCGGCUGUGGGGCUCUAUGGGGCGGCUGUGGAAGGAAUUCAGCUGUGGGAUC
ensembl:lncRNA